GGGGGGGGGCUGGCGCACCCUAGUGCCGAGUGGCCACCUAGCAGCCCCCCUCUGGUACUUCUUUCUUCAAGUAUUUUUUAUUUAUUCUGUAAAAUAUCCCUCUGAAUAUUUUGCCCAUUUGGAUAUGUGCAGAAUAGGUAUUUCUCAUGUAGUUUUUUCAGGUCCAGAAUUCCAUCUGCUUGCGUUCUCCCUCAUGGUGUAAACCUUGCAUAUUAUGAGAUAAAAGGCAUUAGAAUUUCUCCAUAAAGUGGUAUAAUGCAUACAAACACUAUAAAUAAAAGUAGAAAAUCAUGAUGAAAAAUGGACG
rnacentral:lncRNA from 1 species